GGGGAUUUAGCUCAGCAGCCUGAGCGCCUGCCUUGCAAGCAGGCAGUCAUGAGUUCGAUCCCUG
rfam:Cavia porcellus supercont2_5 genomic scaffold, whole genome shotgun sequence.